CGGCAGGGAGGGGCGGUGGGAGCAGGGGACCAGUGGCAACUGCGGGCAGCCGUGAGCGCGCACAGGUGUGCAGAGCUAAAUAAGAGGCUGGAGAAGUCCACAAGCAGCCUUGGAAGCUGGACUUUAAUGGAAGAAAGAAUCAAAGGGUUGUGGGUUCCCACCCACAGCAGCCAACAUAGGAGCUCAGGUGUCCAGGUAGAAGGAUGAGAGAGGACCAAUUUGGCUUGGAGCCUCAGAACCAAGGAAGAGCCCUGAGCUGGCCUAGUGCUGGAGUCGGAAACAGAGCCAGCCCUGCAGAAGAACCAGAAAAAGGGUUGGUGCCAUGGCUCACCCUG